rnacentral:tRNA from 1 species
CUCCCUGUAGCUCAAUCGGCAGAGCACUCGGCUGUAACCCGAGCCAUGCGGGUUCGAAUCCCACUGGGGAGA